CGCGUAGGCGGCUUUGUAAGUCACUUGUGAAAUCUCCGGGCUUAACUCGGAACGGCCAAGUGAUACUGCAAUGCUAGAGUGCAGAAGGGGCAAUCGGAAUUCUUGGUGUAGCGGUGAAAUGCGUAGAUAUCAAGAGGAACACCUGAGGUGAAGACGGGUUGCUGGGCUGACACUGACGCUGAUGCGCGAAAGCCAGGGGAGCAAACG
rnacentral:rRNA from 1 species